rnacentral:rRNA from 1 species
AAAGGGUCCGUAGGCGGUUUGAUAAGUCAGUGGUGAAAGCCCAUCGCUCAACGAUGGAACGGCCAUUGAUACUGUCAGACUUGAAUUACUAGGAAGUAACUAGAAUAUGUAGUGUAGCGGUGAAAUGCUUAGAUAUUACAUGGAAUACCAAUUGCGAAGGCAGGUUACUACUAGUGGAUUGACGCUGAUGGACGAAAGCGUGGGGAGCGAACAGGAUUAGAUACCCUGGU